rnacentral:misc_RNA from 1 species
UUUAUUUUCUAACAAGUCCUCAUAGUUUUCUCCUAAAGGGAAAAAAAUGAUAUUAAUGCUGAAGCCGAUAUUCAUUUUAUGUAUUUUCUAUGUUUAUUAAUGAAGCUUGAAACUUUCAAUAAUAUAGGACCCAUUUUCAUUGUCUCAGCUUAGGGGACCUGCAAAUAAAGAAAGAAUAGUCAGAGGUCUAUCAGGGAGGUCUCUCAUGAGGACCCUCUGACGCUCAAGUUAGAGGGG